rnacentral:piRNA from 1 species
UCUUAGGGUUGAGUGCAUUCACAUGUAUCU